rnacentral:lncRNA from 1 species
GAAGUCUUGUGCUGCCCUGGUUAACACUAUUGAGCUGUUCUCUACAUUGCCUGCUUUCACGGUGCUUACUUUGUCUUGUUCUCUGACCUCGUCCUGCCAGCUGCCUGCCUUGUACCUCAGCCUGAUUACCGACUCUGAUCCUAGCUGCCUGCCUUGAACUCUAGCCUGGAUACAGACCUUGAUAUUCGCCGCCUGCCUCCAUGCCUGAACAUUCAUACUGUGAUUACCUGCCGUUACUCCUUCAACGUAACACUAUUGUGUUUGAUCAACAACCGGAUUCAUGUGGUGCGGACCAAGAAAUGAAGGCAGGUCAAAGGCAGGUGUCCAUGGAGAACUUGUGUUCAGCCAUCAGCAGCUUUCAUAGCAUCCCUGUCCCUAGUGGACACACACACAAGAGCCAAGAACUUAUUUUGUGAAAUGGAAAGCUGCAGGUCUCUGGAGCUUUGCUUCCUGUUCUCUAAAACAAUGGAAAAGAUGAAGUAGGAAUUGUGAACUAUAAUGCUGUUUCUAUUGAAAUCAAUGCUUCUCUGGAAAUUGGCUCAUUCAUCAGAACAAUUCAGCCGCACAAUGUAUAAUCACGAUAAGCAGAUACUGACGUGAAGACCACAUCGUUUUCUAGGUUAAAGAUUGUAUAAUCCUAGUUAUGAUGCAACUUGUUGAAUAGCUCAUCAGUAUUGAAACGAAAUGUCUGUGUAUGAGCUGAAAAGGACACAUGAUGCCAAACUAAUGGUGCCAAGACCAGAGUGAAAAAGGUUUAAAGAGCUCCUUUUCUCACCUAUAAUUGGGUCACAUGAAGAUCGAUAUUGAAUAAAGAACCCUUGAGUCGUG